rnacentral:rRNA from 2 species
UACGGAGGGGGCUAGCGUUGUUCGGAAUCAUUGGGCGUAAAGGGCGCGUAGGCGGCCGAUCAAGUCGGAGGUGAAAUCCCUCGGCUCAACUGAGGAAUUGCCUUCGAUACUGUUCGGCUUGAGUCCUGGAGAGGGUAGCGGAAUUCCCGGUGUAGCGGUGAAAUGCGUAGAGACCGGGAAGAACACCAGUGGCGAAGGCGGCUACCUGGACAGGUACUGACGCUGAAGCGCGAAAGCUAGGGGAGCAAACAGG